rnacentral:ncRNA from 1 species
ACCUGAACAUAUUCUCCUUGUAUAAGCAUAAAUACAGAUCGGAACAACCGCUUACACUUAACCAAACAAAUAAUUAUAACCACAUACUAGCACCCUACUACACACAUUGUUAACCCAACCCAGGCAUGCAUAUAAAGGAAAGAUUAAAAGGAAUAAAAGGAACUCAGCAAACAUAAGCCCCGCCUGUUUACCAAAAACAUCACCUCUAGCAUUUACUAGUAUUAGAGGCACUGCCUGCCUGGUGAGUUAUGACUUUAACGGCCGCAGUAUCCUGACCGUGCAAAGGUAGCAUAAUCACUUGUCUCUUAAUUGGGGACUAGUAUGAAUGGCAUAACGAGGGUUCGACUGUCUCUUAUUCCUAAUCAGUGAAAUUGACCUUCCCGUGCAGAGGCGGGAAUACUUAUACAAGACGAGAAGACCCUGUGGAGCUUAAGUUGCAUAACUCAACGCAUACUAAUAUACAACCUACCGGAACAAACUGUAUAAGCCCCUGAGUAUAGUUUUUGGUUGGGGUGACCUCGGAGCAUAAAACAACCUCCGAAUGAAUAUAACCUAGAUUAACCAAUCUAAGUGUAACAUUAUCAGUAAUUGACCCUUCUCUUGAUCAACGGAAGAAGUCACCCCAGGGAUAACAGCACAAUCCUAUUUGAGAGCCCAUAUCGAAAAUUAGGGUUUACGACCUCGAUGUUGGAUCAAGACACCCAAAUGGUGCAACCGUUAUUAAAGGUUCAUUUGUUCAACGAUUAAAGUCCUACGUGAUCUGAGUUCAGACCGGAGAAAUCCAGGUCGGUUUCUAUCUGUAAAUUCAUUUCUCUCAGUACGAAAGGACAAGAGAAAUAGGGCCAACGUCCCCAAUAAGCCCUAGAACCAACAUAUGAAUCAAUCUAAAUAUACUAAAUCAUUUUAUACCUCUCCCCAAGAACAGGGCUGUUAAGUGGCAGAGUUGGUAAUUGCAUAAGUUUAAGCCUUUACUCCCAGAGGUUCAAAACCCUUCUU